GGUGCUGUAGACCAAUUGGUUACGUUGACUCCACGGGAUGGAAGAGACGCGGGUUCGAACCCCGCCCGGGAUCU